rnacentral:rRNA from 1 species
GACGAACGCUGGCGGCGUGCCUAAUACAUGCAAGUUGAGCGAUGAAGCUUGGUGCUUGCACCAAUUUGAAGAGCAGCGAACGGGUGAGUAACGCGUGGGGAAUCUGCCUUUGAGCGGGGGACAACAUUUGGAAACGAAUGCUAAUACCGCAUAACAACUUUAAACAUAAGUUUUAAGUUUGAAAGAUGCAAUUGCAUCACUCAAAGAUGAUCCCGCGUUGUAUUAGCUAGUUGGUGAGGUAAAGGCUCACCAAGGCGAUGAUACAUAGCCGACCUGAGAGGGUGAUCGGCCACAUUGGGACUGAGACACAGCCCAAACUCCUACGGGAGGCAGCAGUAGGGAAUCUUCGGCAAUGGACGAAAGUCUGACCGAGCAACGCCGCGUGAGUGAAGAAGGUUUUCGGAUCGUAAAACUCUGUUGGUAGGGAAGAACGUUGGUGAGAGUGGAAAGCUCAUCAAGUGACGGUAACUACCCAGAAAGGGACGGCUAACUACGUG